GAGCUUGCUUCUCUGGAUGAGUUGCGAACGGGUGAGUAACGCGUAGGUAACCUGCCUGGUAGCGGGGGAUAACUAUUGGAAACGAUAGCUAAUACCGCAUAACAGUAGAUGUCGCAUGACAUUUGCUUAAAAGGUGCAAUUGCAUCACUACCAGAUGGACCUGCGUUGUAUUAGCUAGUUGGUGGGGUAACGGCUCACCAAGGCGACGAUACAUAGCCGACCUGAGAGGGUGAUCGGCCACACUGGGACUGAGACACGGCCCAGACUCCUGCGGGAGGCAGCAGUAGGGAAUCUUCGGCAAUGGACGGAAGUCUGACCGAGCAACGCCGCGUGAGUGAAGAAGGUUUUCGGAUCGUAAAGCUCUGUUGUAAGAGAAGAACGAGUGUGAGAGUGGAAAGUUCACACUGUGACGGUAUCUUACCAGAAAGGGACGGCUAACUACGUGCCAGCAGCCGCGGUAAUACGUAGGUCCCGAGCGUUGUCCGGAUUUAUUGGGCGUAAAGCGAGCGCAGGCGGUUAGAUAAGUCUGAAGUUAAAGGCUGUGGCUUAACCAUAGUACGCUUUGGAAACUGUUUAACUUGAGUGCAGAAGGGGAGAGUGGAAUUCCAUGUGUAGCGGUGAAAUGCGUAGAUAUAUGGAGGAACACCGGUGGCGAAAGCGGCUCUCUGGUCUGUAACUGACGCUGAGGCUCGAAAGCGUGGGGAGCGAACAGGAUUAGAUACCCUGGUAGUCCACGCCGUAAACGAUGAGUGCUAGGUGUUAGGCCCUU
rnacentral:rRNA from 1 species